AUGAAGCGGGUAACGACAGUGCUAACUAUCGAGAAUCACGGGAAGGACCACGAAGACGCGCUCAAGGAUGUUGAAUUCAGAGAGCAGCCCGCUCGUGUGGAUCUCAGCCGGCUAGCGGAAAUCGCAGAUACCGAGAAAGCUGCUUCUCAAAUGCAAUACUUCGUGAAGCAUUGGGAAUAUAGGAGGGCCAACAAUGCCCGGCUCCUGAAUGAAGAGCUCGGUCGUCUCUCCCAACAGCGAGAAGAGAUUGAGCAAAAGAAGCAGCAGAUCAUGGAGGAGGACCAACGUCACAAUGCCCUCAAGUGUUCGAGACAAGAGAUUAAUGACCCUUCUCAUGACGAGGAUCUUGAAGAAGAUGCAGAGCAUGACAGUACCCCCUACUGGAAACGGCGAGCGCUGCAGUCGGAGAAAGCGCAUGGGGUAAGCUUGCAAAGGGAGCGUUCGUUGGAGGAGAAGCUGGGGGAAUAUCUCAAGAAAUUUCAGCUAGAAACACUGGCGGGGGAAUUAUCUGCCAUGUUAAAACGGGGCGAUUAUUUCUUGCACCUGAUUCUCCAAAGUGCCCCCAUUUUGAUUGCUCAUCAGGAUGUCGAGUUACGGUACUGCUACAUUUUUAAUCACUUUCCGACACUUGCGGAUGAGCUGAAUGCCUUUGCCAUUGAUUUUUCCGCUCCAUAUAGUGCACUGCUCUUUAAUCCUGAAAUUAAGUUGUAUUUUUGUCUGGUUCACAAUUUGUUUUCAGGAUGUUAUUGGUAAAAUAGACCAUGAGAUAUUGUCAGGAGAGGGUAUAGAUGAGAUGAAUAAGGUCAAGAGAGAGGUUAUGGCCAAGGGUAUACCGAUUAAGAGAGAGUUUUUAUUUAACACUCCAUUAUUCGGACCAAAGACCUUUGUGGUAUACAUCAAACCAGUUUUGAGUAAAAUAGGGGAAACAAUCGGUGUGAAUUAUGUUGCACUGGACAUAACGGACCAGGUCAAAACAAGAGAGAAAAUGACAGACAUAAGGGUGAGGGAAGCUGUUCAAAAAGCCAAGGAAAUAGAGCAUAGCAGAUCACCUAAUAUUACAGAGGACACACCGCAAGCAAAACAAAUGUUAGCCACAAUGUCACAUGAGAUCGGAUCUCCCCUUUCAGAAGUCCUUAGGAUAGCCGAGCUUCUUGCAACUACCAAACUGGAUCAAGAACAACAUCAGUUGCUAGAGCUUAUGUUAUCCUCUGGAAAUGUUGUGUUUCAAUCGAUCGAUGGCAUCCUUGGUCUCUCCAAAGUGGAAUCAGGAGUUAUCAAACUACAAUCUGCGAUAUUUAGGCCAAGGGAAGUAGUUGAACAUGUACUCCAAACUGCUUCUUUAUUUAUGAAGAAGGAGCUGACUCUUGAAGGGCGCAUAGGUGAUGAUGUUCCAUCAGAGGUCAUCGGUGAUGCGCUAAAGAUUCAGGAAAUUCUGACAAACUUGAUCAAUUUCAGCAAUGCGGUGAAGUUUACACAAGACGGGAAGGUUGGGAUAAACCUUAAUGUUGUAGAUAAGCAGCAACUGGAAUGCCAAAUAGAACAUAUAAGACCUCAUUCUGCAAGCCCAAUUAACACUGAGACAGAAUAUUAUCCUGCCUCGUCAAAAAUUUCUGAUAAAGAUACCUUGCGUUGCUCAAACCAUGAAGAAGCUCAUCAGAAUGGCAUUCCAUCAAAUGAAAAUUCUACGGGGGAAGCUGUUUGGCUUUGCUUCGAUGUUUAUGACACUGGAAUAGGAAUACCAGAGAAGUCAUUGCCGUUUCUGUUCAAGAGGUAUAUGCAUGCCAAUGAGAAACAUACAACAAAAUAUGGUGGGACGGGGCUUGGCCUUGCUGUCUGCAAGCAGUUGGUGGACUUGAUGGGUGGUACUCUCACAGUGCUUAGCAAAGAGAAUGAAGGGUCAACAUUUACAGUCAUGUUUCCCUGCAUAAUUCCUGCAAGACAAGCACAAUGAUGCUCCUCACAAUGGGAAAAACUCGUGUACCAGAACUUUCAGUGAGUACUACAUCGGUCUAACUACUGAAAUACCAGCUCCUGGAGAAGGGCAAAGAUGGUCCAGGGCUGAAGCAUGGGUAGUAUAGGCCAAAGAAUGUGGUUUACAGUUUCCUUACUGUUCUGUUAGAUCUGAUAAGGUGUUGAGUUGUAGCUUCAUACCAGCGAUUAGUAUAUGUAUGUAAUCAAGAAUUAGAAAAUACAUACAAAUAAAUUGCAAUUCCAAAACGUUGAGAACUAAAAAAGGAGAAGAAUGCCCAAACCUACAGACUUGUAAUUAACACUUUGCACUACAUGUUGCUAAUGGGUCAUUCUGUCAUGUAAUGUGUAUAUACAAAAAUGCAAAAAGAUUUAAGGCUUACACGAAA